rnacentral:rRNA from 1 species
UACGUAGGGUGCGAGCGUUAAUCGGAAUUACUGGGCGUAAAGCGUGCGCAGGCGGUGCUGUAAGACAGGCGUGAAAUCCCCGGGCUUAACCUGGGAAUGGCGCUUGUGACUGCAAAGCUGGAGUGCGGCAGAGGGGGAUGGAAUUCCGCGUGUAGCAGUGAAAUGCGUAGAUAUGCGGAGGAACACCAAUGGCGAAGGCAAUCCCCUGGGCCUGUACUGACGCUCAUGCACGAAAGCGUGGGGAGCAAACAGG